AGUGAACGCUGGCGGUAGGCCUAACACAUGCAAGUCGAACGGCAGCACAGUAAGAGCUUGCUCUUACGGGUGGCGAGUGGCGGGCGGGUGAGGAAUACAUCGGAAUCUACUUUUUCGUGGGGGAUAACGUAGGGAAACUUACGCUAAUACCGCAUACGACCUACGGGUGAAAGCAGGGGAUCUUCGGACCUUGCGCGAUUGAAUGAGCCGAUGUCGGAUUAGCUAGUUGGCGGGGUAAAGGCCCACCAAGGCGACGAUCCGUAGCUGGUCUGAGAGGAUGAUCAGCCACACUGGAACUGAGACACGGUCCAGACUCCUACGGGAGGCAGCAGUGGGGAAUAUUGGACAAUGGGCGCAAGCCUGAUCCAGCCAUACCGCGUGGGUGAAGAAGGCCUUCGGGUUGUAAAGCCCUUUUGUUGGGAAAGAAGAGCAGCAGGUUAAUACCCCGCUGUUCUGACGGUACCCAAAGAAUAAGCACCGGCUAACUUCGUG
rnacentral:rRNA from 1 species